rnacentral:tRNA from 1 species
GGGGGUAUAGCUCAAUGGUAGAGCACAUGCUUAGCAUGCAGGAGGUCCUGGGUUCAACCCCCAGUACCUCUA